rnacentral:rRNA from 1 species
GGAGGAAAAGAAACUAACAAGGAUUCCCCUAGUAACUGCGAGUGAAGCGGGAAAAGCUCAAAUUUAAAAUCUGGCGGUCUUUGGCCGUCCGAGUUGUAGUCUGGAGAAGUGCUUUCCGCGCUGGACCGUGUACAAGUCUCUUGGAACAGAGCGUCAUAGAGGGUGAGAAUCCCGUCUUUGACACGGACUACCAGUGCUUUGUGAUGCGCUCUCAAAGAGUCGAGUUGUUUGGGAAUGCAGCUCAAAAUGGGUGGUAAAUUCCAUCUAAAGCUAAAUAUUGGCGAGAGACCGAUAGCGAACAAGUACCGUGAGGGAAAGAUGAAAAGCACUUUGGAAAGAGAGUUAAACAGUACGUGAAAUUGCUGAAAGGGAAACGCUUGAAGUCAGUCGCGUCGGCCAGGACUCAGCCUUGCUUUUGCUUGGUGCAUUUUCUGGUUGACGGGCCAGCAUCGAUUUCGACCGCUGGAAAAAGGUUAGGGGAAUGUGGCACCUUCGGGUGUGUUAUAGCCCUUAGUCGCAUACAGUGGUUGGGAUCGAGGACCGCAGCACGCCUUUAUGGCCGGGGUUCGCCCACGUUCGUGCUUAGGAUGCUGGCGUAAUGGCUUUAAACGACCCGUCUUGAAACACGGACCAAGGAGUCUAACAUGCCUGCGAGUGUUUGGGUGGAAAACCCGAGCGCGUAAUGAAAGUGAAAGUUGAGAUCCCUGUCGUGGGGAGCAUCGACGCCCGGACCUGAACUUCGGUGAUGGAUCUGCGGUAGAGCAUGUAUGUUGGGACCCGAAAGAUGGUGAACUAUGCCUGAAUAGGGUGAAGCCAGAGGGAAACUCUGGUGGGAGGCUCGUAGCGAUUCUGACGUGCAAAUCGAUCGUCAAAUUUGGGUAUAGGGGGCGAAGACU